rnacentral:rRNA from 1 species
GUCCUACGGGAGGCAGCAGUGAGGAAUAUUGGUCAAUGGGAGAGAUCCUGAACCAGCCAAGCCGCGUGAGGGAAGACGGCCCUAUGGGUUGUAAACCUCUUUUGUCGGAGAACAAAACCCGGGACGUGUCCCGGACUGCGUGUAUCCGAAGAAAAAGCAUCGGCUAACUCCGUGCCAGCAGCCGCGGUAAUACGGAGGAUGCGAGCGUUAUCCGGAUUUAUUGGGUUUAAAGGGUGCGCAGGCGGAGGCACAAGUCAGCGGUAAAAUCGCGGGGCUCAACCCCGCCCCGCCGUUGAAACUGUGUC